rnacentral:lncRNA from 1 species
UUAGGGUUAGGGAGAUACGACAGUUAGCAUAUUUUGUUCUCCCAUUCACGGUUUCGAAGAGGGCGACAUCUUCAGGUUAGAGUUAAUUCCUAAUGAUUUAUAUUGAUUAAUUAGCAUGGUAAUGCUACUAAUCAAUGGGUUAAGGGUUGAUUAGCAGUAUAAUUAGGAAAUUUCUUUGCACGUGCAUUAAAGAGUACCGCUGCUACUAUUUCUCACAACAAACUAGACCUAAUAAGGAUAGAAUAAUGAUUAAGUGAGGUUAUAAAUGUUGAAUUUUAUUAAUAUUUAACUUAUUACCUUUUUUGUUAUGUUCUGAGUUGUUAGGUAUAUGUUAGCAGAUCAAUUAGGGUAAUCUAAACCCAAUCCUUAAUAAUGACAAAACCCAUUAACGAUGCUCAUUCAAUAGAAUAACUAAUAUUCUGUAGGUAUUAAGAUAUGUUACUGCUAGUGUCGCUCGUAGAAUUAUCAUGCCAAUUUAGGAUAAUGAUAAGGUCAUAAUUUGUUAGUGAUUGAUAUAUAAUGAGUAAAUUGAUGUUAUUAGAUUCGUAUUCCUAUAGGGAUUAUAUGUUAGGAGCAGAAGUUGAUCAUUCAAAGACUUUAAGGAAGGGUAAGACCCUUGCAAAUUACCUGGCACUUAGAUUCUUCGGUUGAGGUAGGUACCGGCUUAAUUGGAGUUUAGACUCGACUUAAUUGUGUGUAUGCUCCUAAAUUGGAUACUUGUUGAUUGGUAUUCAGACAUUCUUGAAAUUAUUGAUGUUUGGAUUGUUAAUGCGUGUAUAUAUGAUUAUUGAGAAUUCGCUUGAUGAAAUUGUCUUAUGACUUUAAGUGUACUUGUAAACUUGGUAUAUUGUGAGGUUGUGUAAAUUUGAUAGUGAUAAUAUUUAUAUGUUGGAUCGGGUACUACGGUGGUACAAAUAUGUAUAUUGGAUCGGAUACCACGCCGAUAUGGAUAUAUAUAAAUUGGAUCGGGUACUACGUCGAUAUGAAUAUGUAAAUGUUGGAUCGGGUACCACAUCGGUAUGAAUAUGUAUUUUUUGGAUUGGGUACCACGCCGGUACAGAUAUGUAUAUGUUGGAUCGUGUACCACGCUGGUACAGAUAUGUAUCUAUUGGAUCAGGUACCACGCUGGUACAGUUAUGUAUAUGUUGGAUCGGGUACCACGCCGGUUUGAAUAUAUAUAUGUUAGAUCGGGUACCAUGUCGGCACGGAUAUGUAUAUGUCGGAUCGGGUACCACGUCGGCAUGGAUAUGUAUAUGUUGGAUUGGUACCACGUCAGAAUAGAUAUGUAUAUGUUGGAUCGGGUACCAUACAGUAAGAUAUAUAUAUAUAUAUAUGUUGGAUCAGGUACCAUGCCAGUACGGAUAUGUAUAUGUUGGAUCAGGUACCAUUCCAGUACGGAUAUGUAUAUGUUGGAUCCGGUACCACACCGGUACGGAUAUGUAUGUGUUGGAUCGAGUACCACACCAAUAUGGUACAUGAACAUAGAUUUUUCCCUGCUAGUCAUGGCUAUUUGGGCAAAACUAAGUCUCAUAGAAUGUGUGUAAUUAUUUGUGUUGAUUUUGUGGAUAUUUUACAGUAUGGUUGAUACUCUUGAUGGUUAUGUGAUUGGUUUGUGAGCACUAUUUGACCUAUUGUUGUUGGAUUGUUGAUUUAGUGAAUAUAUGUUUUGUGACGAUACUUGUCUACUUGUUAUUUGAUUUAUGUUGUGUACUGAUGUGCGAGUCUAUGCUAACACAUUUGAAGCUUUUAACUCUAAAUAAUUGCAAGGUCAUGACAACUUUAGUUAUUUUUUGUUAGUUUACUUUGAUUUUGCAGUAAAUGUAGAGAUGAAAGGGAAUCACCAAUAAAGGAAGCAAAAAGCCUGAAAUCUGAAGAAAAUAAAGGACUAAGUAUGGCAGACGACAUCCAUGAAUAGUCAUCGGCCUGGUGAUAAGCUGUUAAAGAUGUCAUCAGCCUUAAACGGAAGAUGGAAGUUGAAGACAGUUUUAUGAAGACAUCCAUGACAAGUCGUCAAGAUGGUGAUAAGCUGUCAAGGAUGUCGUCAGGCUUAAACAGAAAAUUAAAGUUGAAAAAAGUUUGUGACGACAUCCAUGACAUGUCUUCAAGAUGGUGAUAAGAUUCCAUCGUUGUCGUCAGCCUUAAGUAGCAAGAGCCAAAAAUUCAGAGGAACUGACGACAUCCGUAAUAAGCCGUCAGACUCUUGAUAAGUCGUCACUGAAGUCGUCAUUUAUUCUGAGAAAAAGAUGAAACUUCUAUUUUGUUUCCUUAUUUAGGGUUAACUAUUUAAAGCCUUGUUUUAGGGUUUUCUAAACAAAAACUUAUCAAUCAACAUACUUUGGAUAGACAAUUUUUUUUCUCUCUCUAGAAUAAUUUUUUGGGAGUUUUGUCUUGUGAAUCAAUUCAAGUUAUACUUUUUGAUUUUCAUCAUGGUUGUAUGAUAAUCUACUCAAUUAUGAAUUCAA